ACGGCAUCCGGAACUGUCAAGCUAGAGUGCAGGAGAGGAAGGUAGAAUUCCCGGUGUAGCGGUGAAAUGCGUAGAGAUCGGGAGGAAUACCAGUGGCGAAGGCGGCCUUCUGGACUGACACUGACACUGAGGUGCGAAAGCGUGGGUAGCAAACAGGAUUAGAUACCCUGGUAGUCCACGCCGUAAACGAUGUCGACCAGCCGUUGGGUGCCUAGCGCACUUUGUGGCGAAGUUAACGCGAUAAGUCGACCGCCUGGGGAGUACGGCCGCAAGGUUAAAACUCAAAUGAAUUGACGGGGGCCCGCACAAGCGGUGGAGCAUGUGGUUUAAUUCGAUGCAACGCGAAGAACCUUACCUACUCUUGACAUCCUGCGAAUUUGGUAGAGAUACCUUAGUGCCUUCGGGAACGCAGAGACAGGUGCUGCAUGGCUGUCGUCAGCUCGUGUUGUGAAAUGUUGGGUUAAGUCCCGUAACGAGCGCAACCCUUGUCCUUAUUUGCCAGCGCGUAAUGGCGGGAACUCUAAGGAGACUGCCGGUGACAAACCGGAGGAAGGUGGGGACGACGUCAAGUCAUCAUGGCCCUUACGAGUAGGGCUACACACGUGCUACAAUGGUCGGUACAAAGGGUUGCCAACUCGCGAGAGUGAGCCAAUCCCGAAAAGCCGAUCUCAGUCCGGAUCGGAGUCUGCAACUCGACUCCGUGAAGUCGGAAUCGCUAGUAAUCGUGGAUCAGAAUGCCACGGUGAAUACGUUCCCGGGCCUUGUACACACCGCCCGUCACACCAUGGGAGUGGACUGCACCAGAAGUGGUUAGCCUAACGCAAGAGGGC
rnacentral:rRNA from 1 species